UGAGCUUGAUCCUGGCUCAGGACGAACGCUGGCGGCGUGCCUAAUACAUGCAAGUCGAGCGGACUGAUGGGAGCUUGCUCCCUGAGGUUAGCGGCGGACGGGUGAGUAACACGUGGGCAACCUGCCUGUAAGACUGGGAUAACUCCGGGAAACCGGGGCUAAUACCGGAUAACCCGUUCCACCUCAUGGUGGAGCGGUAAAAGAUGGCCUCUGGCUAUCACUUACAGAUGGGCCCGCGGCGCAUUAGCUAGUUGGUAAGGUAACGGCUUACCAAGGCGACGAUGCGUAGCCGACCUGAGAGGGUGAUCGGCCACACUGGGACUGAGACACGGCCCAGACUCCUACGGGAGGCAGCAGUAGGGAAUCUUCCGCAAUGGACGAAAGUCUGACGGAGCAACGCCGCGUGAGUGAUGAAGGUUUUCGGAUCGUAAAGCUCUGUUGUUAGGGAAGAACAAGUGCCGUUUGAAUAAGGCGGCACCUUGACGGUACCUAACCAGAAAGCCCG
rnacentral:rRNA from 1 species